GUGUCUGCGGUUUUGCCUAUUCUCUCUCUUCCCAUUCAAAGUGUGUACAGCAUAUGAGCGUGGAUUGGCCAUUUGUGUUGUCACCUCUACUGGACCCUUCCAGGAUUAUUCUUUAUCCAGCUUCAUCAGUGGCACCGGAUUCCUUGGCACAAGUACAGAUCGCCUGUUUGAGUCCUCCUGGACGCUGCCUGCUGAACCCUCCUCCUGCUGGGUAACCUGCUUGGUGAUCUCCUCUGCCUGCCUUUACCAUAUGUGCCACUGACUCUAAGAUCCAGCUCUGGUCCUGCCCGAUGUUCCACUCCCAUCGAUAUGUGUCGGUAGAUGAUGACUACUAAGUGCAGCCUAUGCCUGCCAAACAUUACUUCAAUCGACUACGAUGGGCUUCACAGAGGAUGAUCUGCUGCCAAGUCCAAUCCAUAAGAAAUGGGAUACUUCACUGGUCACUGCCUGAACCCUGGACUUAGGAUGUACUUCACAAUAAUUAACAGCCAUAAGCUUCCAGCUGGACUGUGAUGCACCUCACUGACCUCUGCCUGCAUCAUCAUGGUCAUAGUAUGAACUACACUGUCUUAAAAUGGAAUACAUAGCAGGCCCUGUCUAGAAACGUAACAUUAGGGCACACGUGUCUUCCGUCAAUGGAGGGUGUGCGCUUGACUUUUGUUCCAGCGCAUUUCAUUAGGGUUAGCGCCAUGACGAUGCAAUUCGACCCUUUGCUUCUUUGCACUUGAGGGGUGGGGGGGG